AUGCAAGACUACUUCACGGAGGUACCUACAUACCCUCCUUGUCUUUUCCGUAGAAGGUACCGAAUGCGUCGUAGUUUGUUUGUGAAGAUUGUCACCGAUUGUGAGGCCGCCUCCUAUUACUUUAAACGUCGUAGAUCCGCCGCCGGUAUCAUGGGUUUUAGUGCAUAUCAAAAGAUAUCGGCGGCAAUGCGGGUACUCGCUUAUGGCAUACCUGCGGAUUAUACCAACGAGUAUCUUCGCAUUGGGAAAAAUACAACCACGGAGUCCGUCCGUAGGUUUGCCAAGUUGGUCAUCCGGUUGUAUGGUGAGCAGUAUCUUCGGGCACCAAAUGAGGAAGAUACAAAGAGAUUAAUGGAAAUGAAUGAAAAAAGGGGAUGGCCGGAGAUGCUUGGUAGUCUUGAUUGCAUGCAUUGGAGGUGGAAAAUUUGCCCAAAGGCAUGGCACGGAAUGUAUUGCGGUAAAUGCCGUGAUGCUACCAUUGUGUUUGAGGCUGUAGCAUCAGAGGACACAUGGAUUUGGCAUGCAUUCUUUGGUUGCCGGGAACACUCAAUGAUAUCAAUGUCCUCAAUAGAUCUCCUUUGUUCAAAAGAUUAA
rnacentral:rRNA from 1 species